rnacentral:rRNA from 1 species
AACGCGAAGAACCUUACCAGGAUUUGACAUGCUCUCUAUGGAUUCCCGAAAAGGAAUCCUUCACUUCGGGUGGGAGAUGCACAGGUGCUGCAUGGCUGUCGUCAGCUCGUGUCGUGAGAUGUUGGGUUAAGUCCCGCAACGAGCGCAACCCUCGUCCUCUGUUGCUAACAGGUUAAGCUGAGCACUCUGAGGAAACUGCCGGUGAUAAGCCGGAGGAAGGUGGGGAUGACGUCAAGUCCUCAUGGCCCUUACAUCCUGGGCUACACACGUGUUACAAUGGUGGUGACAAUGAGUCGCUAACCCGCAAGGGCAUGCUAAUCUCAAAAAGCCACCUCAGUUCAGAUUGUACUCUGCAACUCGAGUACAUGAAGUUGGAAUCGCUAGUAAUCGCGGAUCAGAACGCCGCGGUGAAUACGUUCCCGGGCCUUGUACACACCGGCUAC